UACGUAGGUCCCGAGCGUUGUCCGGAUUUAUUGGGCGUAAAGCGAGCGCAGGUGGUUUAAUAAGUCUGAUGUAAAAGGCAGUGGCUCAACCAUUGUGUGCAUUGGAAACUGUUAGACUUGAGUGCAGUAGAGGAGAGUGGAAUUCCAUGUGUAGCGGUGAAAUGCGUAGAUAUAUGGAGGAACACCGGUGGCGAAAGCGGCUCUCUGGACUGUAACUGACGCUGAGGUACGAAAGCGUGGGGAGCAAACAGG
rnacentral:rRNA from 1 species